UGUGAUGGGGAGCGAAAUUUAGUAGCGAAGUAGCUGAUUUCACACUGUCAAGAAAAGUCUCUAUCGAGGUUAAAGGUACCCGUACCGCAAACCGACACAGGUGGGUGAGGAGAGUAUCCUAAGGCCAGCGAGAGAACUGUUGUUAAGGAACUCGGCAAAAUGACCCCGUAACUUAGGGAUAAGGGGUGCCACCAUCAGGUGGCCGCAGAGAAUAGGCCCAAGCGACUGUUUACCAAAAACAUAGGUUUCUGCUAAGUCGCAAGACGAUGUAUAGGAGCUGACGCCUGCCCGGUGCUGGAAGGUUAAGGGGAUCUGUUAGAGCAAUCGAAGCAGUGAACUUAAGCCCCAGUAAACGGCGGCCGUAACUAUAACGGUCCUAAGGUAGCGAAAUUCCUUGUCGGGUAAGUUCCGACCCGCACGAAAGGCGUAACGAUUUGGGCACUGUCUCAACAACAGACUCGGUGAAAUUGUAAUUCCGGUGAAGAUGCCGGAUACCUGCGACAGGACGGAAAGACCCCAUGGAGCUUUACUGUAGCUUGACAUUGGGUCUUGGUACUACAUGUACAGGAUAGGU
rnacentral:rRNA from 1 species